UAGAUCUGGUGGAGACUGAAGGCAGGUAGACUGCUGGAAUUGUGUCAGGAAAGGACACAUUAAACGCAACUGCAGGUGCCCUCCUAAAAAUAAAACCCCCCAGGAUUCAAAUGAUAACUCCCAUUACAACCAACCACUUCCACCACCUCCCCCUCCCCAAUAGGAAAUUGGCAACCCAGGUGUCCCUACAUGCUUUAAAUAUCCCUGACUCAGCUGGACCCUAACCCAUAAACAAUGUUACUCUGCCCGGGGACCAAAUAGUCCCUUUUCUGCUGGGCACUGGGGCAGCCAGAUCUAUGUUGCAGGAAAAAUAUGUGUUCCCGUAUGAGAAGUAUGAAUAUGUUUUAUCAUGUAUAGGGGUGGAUGGGAUCCCAAGUGACAUUCCCCUUA